UUUUCCGUAUUGCAUCUUGUUAGAACAAGACAUUAGCGGAAUGACCAAUUUUGUCUGACCGAUCGCCCACGCAGCAAUGGCGUAAGACGUUGUGAUCUUUCAGACAGUUAGCGGGCUGCGGGUUGCAGUCCUUACCGGUACAGGCUCUAUGGAUUUCAAGUCGCAGGAAGGCGUCAACUCCGGGACUCCCGGGAGCUCAUCUGGAUCGCCAGAUCGAGGUGAGCAGGUUAAGCCACCAUGCCUGCAACGCGAAAGACGA
rnacentral:misc_RNA from 1 species